UGGGGGAUCGUCUAGUGGUAGGACACCAGGUUUUGGACCUGGGUACCGGGGUUCGAAUCCCUGUCCCCCAGCCA
rnacentral:tRNA from 1 species